rnacentral:rRNA from 1 species
CCAAUAGCGUAUAUUAAAGUUGUUGCAGUUAAAAAGCUCGUAGUUGAAUUUCGGGGUUAGCAGGUCGGUCGUGCCACUGGUAUGCACUGGUCUCGCUGAUUCCUCCCUCUUGAUGAGCCGUAAUGCCAUUAAUUUGGUGUUGCGGGGAAUCAGGACUGUUACUUUGAAAAAAUUAGAGUGUUUAAAGCAGGCAAGCGCUUGAAUACAUUAGCAUGGAAUAAUGAAAUAGGACGUUCGAUCUUAUUUUGUUGGUUUCUAAGAUUGACGUAAUGAUUAAUAGGGAUAGUUGGGGGCAUUAGUAUUCAAUUGUCAGAGGUGAAAUUCUUGGAUUUAUUGAAGACUAACUACUGCGAAAGCAUUUGCCAAGGAUGUUUUCAUUAAUCAAGAACGAAAGUUAGGGGAUCGAAGACGAUCAGAUACCGUCGUAGUCUUAACCAUAAACUAUGCCGACUAGGGAUCGGAUGAUGUUAAUUUUUUAAUGACUCAUUCGGCGCCUUACG